CUGGAGACAACAUCACUCUGCCAUGUGGACCUCCUGACACAAAGCUGCCUCAGCUGUAGAGUGGAGCAGAACCGACCUGGAGUCAGCAUGUUCUGCUCUACAGAGAUGAGCAGAUUGAUCCAGAAAACCAGCAUCCAUCGUUCAAGAACCAGGUGGAGCUGCAGGACAGACAGAUGCAGGAUGGAGAGGUGAAUCUGGUUCUGAAGGACUGCUAAUGGAGGAACAUCUGAGUGUCGAGUCGUUCAGGGAGGAACAAGUCUGAGAAGAGAGUCCUUCUGAAGACUGGUCCCAUCAGAACCAUCCACCUGGAUGCUCCUCCUCCUCCAGACUCAUGCUUGGACAUUGCUUCAGCUCUUUUUGGAGUUUAUUCCAGACCUUCACACCACAACAUUGAUCCACAGAAGAGGCUUUCUCCAACAGAAAUGAUCCAUUUGAAGCCGAUGAUUCAGAGCUGCUCCUAGAAAGCAGAAACCUGCCUGCAGCAAGAAUAACAAGAGAUGCUGAUAAUAAGUCAAUAAUUCAGAUAUCAAAUGUAAACACUUUGUGUUUUUGUUUUUUAAUAAAUGUUUAGUUUGGAAUAAA